CACAAGCCCGGGGGUGUGAGGGGGGGACCCGCCUCUUCCUCACGGCUCUCUGAGGGGACCCGGGUAGGGGAAGGGGCGAGGCGUUUCCCCCCGGGGCUGUGAUGAAGCCCCCCCGGUUUGUUUGCUUUCUCGGAGGGAAGGUGAAGGCAGAAGCAACAGAAAGGUACACGUGCCUGCCACAGACUGAGGUGCCUGAUCUUUAUGUGAAAACCUCCUAACUUCAUGAGAUUAAGCCAAACCAGAAACACCUGCAUGUACUGUCUACUACUCCAACAGCAAGUGCAAGAAGCAAACAUUUUCCAUCAUCUCCAAGCUCUUUAAGUGUGUGUGAGAAGCACACUUCAGGACUCCUAGAACACCCAGACACCUUUCUGACUGAACAACCAUCAUAAUCACAACUUACU